rnacentral:lncRNA from 1 species
UGUUUUUAGUUUAGAUCGGCAAAUCGUUAAUAAUUACUUUCUCCUUAUUCGUAUCUUCAGAGUCUGGGGACGAGAUCCCUCCUCUUGUGACCCAUCGGCACCUGAAGCAUUUCUGAAAGGAAACCGGUUGAACAUGUGAGGAACAAGGACAAGGGUCUGGCAGGCAGCAGAUUCUUUUGGUUCAGAAACUGAUUCAUACUCACAGCACAACUGAAAAGUCAUGCAAUUCUAGAAAAUCACUGCAGAGCAGGGGCUGCUGGUAACCAGAUCACAGCUCUGGAGGCUGCACAGCGAUGGGAUGACACUACUGGCAGAGCUGAGAGGUGGAAGUGGCUUUCUGCAGAGGCUGCUGAAGGUAUCCUAAUGACUUUGAUGUGCUUGUGUUAACCAAGUUCGAUUUUUCAAAAUAUCCACACUAUUCUCAGGUUUUCAAGUAUCUGGUUUAUUUCUUGUUGCCUUUCUUCUUUUUUUCCUUCUUUUUCUCUU